ensembl:snRNA U2 U2 spliceosomal RNA
AUCGCUUCUCGGCCUUUUGGCUAAGAUCAAGUGUAGUAUCUGUUCUUAUCAGUUUAAUAUCUGAUACGUCCCCUACCCGGGGACCAUAUAUUAAAUGGAUUUCUGCAACAGGGAGAUGGAAUAGGGGCUUGCUCCGUCCACUCCACGCAUCGACCCGGUAUUGCAGUAUCUCCAGGAACGGUGCACCCCCU